UAAUAGCAUAGAUAACCAAAAAUUAUUUGUGUUGAGCAUUAGAUACGUCAAACUUAAGGACAUGAAUAAACUAAAGAUUGGAAUUUCUCUCAGCAAGAUAACACUUCUCUUCAUAAGAAGCACAACUCUAGCUCCAUGACUCAUUUAGCGAAAAUUUCAUUAACUUACAGUCUAGAGAAGUUUGCGAUGAUAAUGAACUUUUGUCUGGCUUCAAUUAACCAUGAUUAGGAUGCAAUUAACCAUGAUUACAGUCAAAAUUAGAGGAAAUCAAGUGCAAAAAGGUGCAUACUUUGCAUUACAUAUUUUUACAUCAAACGGUAAGAAUGAGGAGGAUAGCGAGCAGCAACCAUUAUAGAAUCUGUGUGAUAUUGGUACUUCUAAUGGUAAGAAUGCAGUUUCCUUGAUUUGGAAGUAUUUCUACAAAUUAAGUUCGCCAAUGUUCAACCAUGGGGUUUUAGGAUAAUGAAUAAGUAGGAGUUAAACAAGCAAGACACAUAUCAUCAUCCCUCUAAUUGGAUGGUGGCUGCUCUUGUACGUACCUAUCCAAUGGAUAGAAACUAAAAUCACACAAAAAUGUGAUUCUUGACUUGUUGAGAAACUAAAAGAAAGAAUAUAAAGAUUAGUGUACCAACAAACUGUUGGAAGAAACUAUUAAAGAUAUAAGAUCAAGACAUGUAAAUAUCACCAAAAGUAUACUCAAAGCAAUGUUUUAACUCACUGAGCAAAAUUCAAACAAGAUGUCUAUACAUGCAAAAGCUAUUACAGAAUUUUUAUGCAACUUGAAUGAAAGG
rnacentral:lncRNA from 1 species